UGUAUGUGUAUGUGUGUAUGUGCAUGUGUGUGUGUGUGUGUGUGUGUGUGUGUAUGUACUCUAUUUCAAUAGACAUGGGUUUUGUUCAGGCCCUUUUUUGAGGUCCAGUUCCUGGUGAACAACACUCAAGGCUUAGAUUGUUGUUUGUGUAUGUCACAACACCAAAGACUUGGCUUGCCAUUUCCAAGUUCCAGAUUCCAGCCGGACAGGCUGAGGUGAGGGUCAGGUAUGCCUGUUCAUGCUUUCUAACGCAUCCUGUUGUUAAUGCACGAUCCCUUGUCUUGUCAUCUAUGGUUCGACAUUUGCCCUUUUGCUAAACUGUGAGCCCGUGACCCUGAGUUUGAGUCCAGGGAAAGAACCUGCAGUUUUAUCACCAGGUCAUUAAGUUCUGAACUUUUUUACAUCAGCCACCUGUUCAAAAGCAGAUUCCUGGGCCUCACUCUGAAAGUCGUAGAGAGGCAACCCGGUACUGUUCUUAAAAAGGUCACCAGGGUUCUUCAUGGCAUGACCCACUGACAAAGACUACAGACCUCCCUGCUCAUGGUUAGAGUAAAAAAGCCUCUUGGUAAUCCCUCAUGUUUGGGACACCGUGUGAGGGUAGACUCCCCAGGGGUGUGGACCUAGUCAGUGAGUACUCAUGGAGACAGUGCUUGGAGCAGCUUGCUGGCUGUGGCCCCCCUGAUCCUGAGAAGUUCCUAGUGUUCAGUCAGCUGAAACUUCCUCCCUGUUCUGGGUCUGCUCACUGGCCUCUGCUGAGCUUUGACCUGUGUGCUAUGCAGGGAGACCAGACCAGAUAUGUCAUAACAAGGCACAGUCCAUAGCUGCAAGGGACCUGGAGCCUAGUUCAGAAGAUGGACAGUUAGGAGAGAAAUGUCACUGAGCCUGAGGUAUUUGAAACCAGGGAAUGAGGACGACUAAGCACUGUUAGGGAUGGAAACCAUGUGUGUAUGUGUAUGUGUGCAUGUGUGUAUGUGUGUGUAUAUGUGUAUGUAUAUGUAUGUGUAUAUGUGUAUAUGCAUGUAUAUGUAUGUGUGCAUUGUGCAUAUAUAUGAAUAUGUGUAUGUAUAUGUAUGUGUGCAUGUGUGGAUGUAUGUGGAUAUGUUGUAUGUAUGUAUAUGUGUAUGUAUAUGUAUGUGUGCAUAUAUAUGAAUAUGUGUAUGUAUAUGUAUGUGUGCAUGUGUGGAUGUAUGUGGAUAUGUUGUAUGUAUGUAUAUGUGUAUGUAUAUGUAUGUGUGCAUAUAUAUGAAUAUGUAUAUGUAUGUGUGCAUGUGUGCAUAUAUAUGAAUUUGUAUAUAUGUAUGUGUGCAUGUGUGGAUGUAUGUGGAUAUGUUGUAUGAUGUAUAUGUGUAUGUAUAUGUAUGUGUGUAUAUAUAUAUAUAUGUGUGUGUGUGCAUGUGUGUGUGUGUGUGUGUGUGUGUGUGUGUGUGAUAUGAAGGUUCCUGCAGGGAAACCUGGGAAGUGUGGGACUAAGGAGCUUGAUUCUCUCGGAUAGAUGGGUGUAUUGUCUAGGAUGGAGAAGGGACAGGCAGGUUGAGUUCAUUGGCCACAGGCUGGGUAUACUCUCCAAGGGACACUUGGACUCUACACAGGGAAAGGGGGAACCAGUUUGGGCUUGGGGAUGAUCACUUGUGGGUACCACAGCUUGUGAACGUGCAGUGUCUAUGUCCCUAGCACUGGGUUUAUAAGCACAUGCUACAUGGUUAGUUUUCUCUUUUAUCAGUUUGGGGUAUCAAGUCGGGUCCGCACAACUGCAAAUCACUUGAUGGACUGAGCUACUCCUACUUUAAACAACAAUAACAUCCAAAAGAACAAAGCCAGGCUUUGUGGCUUGGCUGUGACUUCACUACAUAGCUCAAGCUGGCCUCGAAGUCAGAGAUUGUCCUCGUGCGUGCUGAGAUUACAGGCCUGGAGUACUGCGCUCACAGGAAGCACGGUUGCUGUCACAGCCUGGCAUGCAUGUGUGUACACAUGUGUGUUGUAAAAAUAGUGUGUCCUGUUACUUUCUGUUUUAUCUAAAUCCUUUGUUUUAGAGCUGGUUGUAACCCACCAGCUCCAUAAUAGCUUAUGCUUCGUGUUAAAACAAACAAACAAAAACCAACCUCUCCCCCCAUCCCCCACACAAAUUAACAACAAAAACUGAGUGGUACAGCCCACUUUAGUUGAGUGGCAGAUUCGUGGUACAGCCCACUUUAGUUGCGUGGCAGAUUCGUGGUACAGCCCACUUUAGUUGAGUGGCAGAUUCGUGGUACAGCCCACUUUAGUUGAGUGGCAGAUUCGUGGUACAGCCCACUUUAGUUGAGUGGCAGAUUCGUGGUACAGCCACUUUAGUUGAGUGGCAGAUCCGUGGUACAGCCCACUUUAGUUGAGUGGCAGAUUCGUGGUACAGCCCACUUUAGUUGAGUGGCAGAUUCGUGGUACAGCCCACUUUAGUUGAGUGGCAGAUUCGUGGUACAGCCCACUUUAGCUGAGUGGCAGAUUCGUGGUACAGCCCACUUUAGUUGAGUGGUAGAUUCGUGGUACAGCCCACUUUAGUUGAGUGGCAGAUUCGUGGUACAGCCCACUUUUGAAUUUCCUUAUGCUCACUUACAUUUGAAACGCAGCGUUUCUCAAAGUACACUCCAUGUACGACCAUCACCGUUCCACCCGGAUUGCUCUCCACAGCAGUUCUGUGGGCAAGUACAUUUGGGAAACGAUAGUACACAUGGUAUGUGACAUGUCACAGUGUACUCGGCCUUGUUAGCGUUUGAGGUCUGCGUUGAUGGAGUUGAUUUUCUUUACACAUUUUAGCCACAGAACCACUUUACAUUUGGGCGAGCCCCUGCUCCCUUCCUCAGGGAACCCUGAUGUAUGAGAAAAACCACCAGUCAGGGCCCUUCUGUUUCACUUCCUCCACUGUCCUGCCCACCCCUGCUCCUGCGAGUCCAGGAAGGUCCUUGUGAAAUUGGGAGGGAGGGCCGCCGGAACACAUGCACAGUGACCCUGUUCCUACUUCCCAUAUCAAGUCCCAGAGAGAGUCCUGGAGUCUUUGGGGCGGGUAAUUGAACCCAGGGAAGGCCUCUCGCAUUCCAGGCAGGCUCACCACCAAGUUACAUCCUCAGCUCCACCUCGCCCUUUUUCGUUUGAGUCAGGGUCUCACCAAAUUGGCGGAACUGGUUUUUAAUUUGGUCCAGAGUGCAGUCAGGUCUUAAAUUUACAAUUUCUCGGGCCUCGAUUUCCCAAGUAGCCUCGUCAGCAGGCCUGGCCGCGUCUUACUUUCUCACUAGAUGAUGGCUCCUAGACGUCAUUUCCUGUUUGUACACAAAGAGCUUCCUUGCUCCUGCGGUCUCUCUGUGUGUGUCAUGAAUGUGUCAUUACACGUGGGUAGCCAUCUAGUGAUGACAUGGGCUGUUUCCAGGAGUUCUGCCAGAAAUGAGGCUGCAGUGAGUAACCAUGCAUCUAAGUGACUGAACAUGUGAGCGGGCAUGCAACAUAAAUCCUCACAAGUGGAGAUGCUCCCUCGAAGCCCAGCACUUCCUUAGGGCUUGAAGGGCACUGUCUGGUGACCCUCUGAGGUCCAGCUGGGAUCUCAAGAAGAGAUCUUGUUUGAUGUUUAAUCCCAACCGACUAUACACAUUGGCCCAGAACUCAGGAAGCAUGGAGUGCACCACUGGUCUGUCUUCAAACAGCUGUUUGACGUCAUCAGUGGCUGCUGACAGACAUGGUUUCUUCCAGGGACAGGCUCCCCCAUAAUUGUCCAGUCCCAAGUGGUCAGCACCAGACACAUUUGCUUGCCAGCAAUGUAUAAAUGGGUUUAUCAGGUUCUAUAUAUGUGUGUGUGUUUGUGUAUGUGUGCAUAAGUGUGUGUGUGUGUGUGUGUGUGUGUGUGUGUGUGUGUGUACAGUCAAAAAAGAAAAGGUUAUAAACUUAGACAGGGCAUGGGAGGAGUUGGCAGGAGGAGAGGGAGAGGCCAGGAUCGAUAUACACGCAGUGUUUAUCUAUGAAGCUCUCAAGGGGAAAAAAACCGUCAAAUGCAAGUAAAUCUUUACCCCAGCAACUGUUUGACUCAGCUAAUUUGUGUGCCCAAGUCAAGUCCUUCCACUCCUCUUUGUAAAUUGGAGCUUCUGAGCCCCACAGUUCAGAUGUGUCAUUGGCUUUCUCAGAGGUGAGUCGGGGCUUCUGUGAGCAUUGCUAUAUUCUUUAGAGACGAAGACUCUCUAUGCAGUCCAGGUCAGUGUGGUCCUCCUGCCUCAGCCUCCCUAGUGCUGAAGUGGCAGGUAUAACAGGUAUGUAACACCACACCCACUCAGCCACCACACCGGACUUGGCACUUUCUUGCAAAAUUAAUGAUGUAUUCUUUUGUCCCAAGACCAGCAAUCACAUCCAUUGGCGUUUUCACAAAUGAACCGAAAGUUUAUGUCCACACUGGAGUAUGUGCAUCCGGGUUUAUGGCAGCUUUAGUCCUUGUUGUACAAACCUGGAAGAAAACCGAGUGUCUGUAAAUGAGCUGAAGAAAAACCUGUCAUGUAUCCAGAGAGUGGAAUAGUAUUCAGCUCUGAAGGAAACAAGCUGUUUGGCCAUGAAAAGACAUGGAAGAAACAUGAAUUCACAGUGCUGGGUGGAAGAUGUCAAUCUGAAAAAGGUUCUGGACAGUGACGCCAGCCCUGCGGCCUUCUGGGAAAGGCACUGUUCUGGGAUUAUUAGAAGACUCAGUGUGGUUGCCAGGGAUUGGGGGGGCAGAGGGAUAUAUGAGGCACAGGGAAUUUUUCGGGCUGUGAAACUGUCCUGUCUGAUGUUCCAAUGGCGGGCACCUGACCACCACCAAAGCCCAAAGACUUUGUAAAACCAACCAUGAGCCCCAAUGUAGCCCUCAGACUUUGGAGGGUGAUGGUGUGUCCACGUAGUCCCAUCAAGUAUAAGGAAGGGGCCGCUCCGGUUGGGACAUUGACAGUGGCAAGGUGUGCAGGAGCCUUGUGGGAAAUCUUGGUGCCUUCGCUCAGUUUCAUGGACCUUGGGCUGGGUGUGGUGCUGCACACCAAUGGUCUGGGGAGAGGUAGGAGGAUCAUAGCAAAUUCAAGGCCACCCUGGGUCUACAUGGUGAGCUCCGGGUCACCUGGGCUACAUGACAGUAUCUUGUCUCAAAAACAAAAACAAAAACAAAAAAAGCAAAAAAAAAAAAAAAACCAGAAGUAAUUAAAAAAUGUUUGUAACUAAUUUUUAAUAGGGCCUUUAAUAAGGGCUUUAAUAAAUGUGAGACAUAUAUAUGUAAUUCAUCGACCACCAAGUUAGAUAUAACUCAAAUUGUAUGUAACUCACUUCUUAAAGAGGAGACCUUUCGGUGGAUUUUAGUAAACUCAGAAGGCUGCACAGCUGCCACCUGGUCCGAAACCGUUCCUGUCACUCCAGUGAAAUCCCACACCCGUCAUCAGUCUCCCUACCCCUGCGCUCUCCUUGCCGUGGUAGCCACACAUCUUCCUGUAGUUCUGGAUCUGCCCAGUCCAGACAUUGCCCGUGGAUGCAGGGGUGGGAGGACCAUGCCAGGACCCUAUAGACGCUUGUCCAAACCGUCAGAUAAUGAAGUCUCUCGUGUAAAAUGGGCUGAACCUGCAUUUACCUACACACACCCCUACCCCUGUGUACUCUAAUCAUACUUGCGUUAAUCAUGAUGCACAAUACACCAUUGAUACUCAUAAUCUUUUAAAAAAUUUUUAUUUAUAUGAGUACACUGCCGCUGUCUUCAGACACACCAGAAGAGGGCAUCGGAUCUCAUUACAGAUGGUUGUGAGCCACCAUGUGGUUGCUGGGAAUUGAACUCAGGACCUCUGGAAGAGCAGUCAGUGCUCUUAACCGCUGAGCCACCUCUCCAGAUGCUUAAAAUCUUAAACCUUUUUUUCGUUGUUUGGUUUGUUUUUUCUUUUUGAAGCAGGGCCUGCUAUACAGUCCAGAGUAGCCUCAAAUGGCCGCCAUUCCCUCCUCCACCCCGCAAGCACGGGACGGCACACAUGGCAGCACACGUUCGCGCCUGGCGACAGACGCUUAUCCCGUGUUUCCGUCCAGGGUUUUCUUGAGGCAGCUCCUAAGCCUCGAUCACCUGUGUUAAUUUUUCAUACGGUACGGAGGCGGAUCCGGUUUCGGUCUUCAGCAUACGGCUCUGUUUGCCCCAGGUCGUUAGCUGAAAGAUCUCCUUCUUUCCCUGUCGAGCAGCCCUGGCAUCCUGUUGAGAAUCAAUUGCCUCAACCGGGCGGAGUUCUGGCAGCCCCGCCCAAUCCUGCUGGUCUGUGGCUCUGUGUGCCCAUCCUCAGGUCGGUUCGCACGGUGCCGCCGAGGACCAUCGCUUCUGGCUGAAUGCCUCUCACUUCCUAUGGUCUCUUAGCUCCCCUGCCUUGACGCUCUGGUGCAAUGCUCAAUCAAGGUGGCACCAGCCGACGGCAGGCACUCGCUCCUGAGCUAAGCGGGGUAAGCUUUGCAUACUUCUGCCAUUAUUUGUGACUUUGGUUGUGUACUGUGUUGUUGUAAAUUUCCUAGGAACCGUGUUUAAAAAAGGCAAAGAUCAACAGAUGAUGUCACUACAGUUCAUUUAAGCCAGGAUAUCAUUCCUGUGUCACCAGUAUUAAAAGUCACUACGUCGUUUGCUCACCAAGUCUUUGAAACAAGGUCAUGGGUUAGACUCUCAUCAUAACUUCGUUCAGAGUCUCCACUCCAAGUGCUGGCUCCUUCCACGUCAGAUAGCACAGGCUUAGACUCUGCCUGACUCAACACGGUGACAGCCAGUGUUUACAGUUAACACGGCCCAGGUACUAAGACUUUAUUUAUGCAGUUUCAUUGGUGACCAUAGAAGGAGACGAAGCACCAAGAGUAACAAUUUUGCCCAAAUCAUCUGGCUAGGGACAAGUACAACUGGGAUUCCAACCUGGGAAGCCAGACUUCAGAGCUAGAACACUAUUUUGUUUUUCAAGAAUUUCAGUCAGACACGGUGGCGCACGCCUUUAGCCCCAGCACUCAGGAGGCAGAGGCAGGCAGAUCUCUGUGAGUUCCAGGUCAGCCCGGUCUUCAGAGCCAGUUCCAGGACAGCCGCAGAGCCACACAGUGAGACCCGUUUCAAAACAGAUAAACAGAAGGAUUUCAUUAUAGGGUUUAUUAAAUAAACUUUAAGUAGAUUAUUCUGGUUCUCUGAUUAAAAAUAAAAGUUCUUAAGAGAUAAA